ACAAAGCGUUUGGGGGGAUGAGUAUGAUUGCAGGUGCUAAACCCGCGAUUCGAUUGCACUCUUUGCUUGGGAGUAUGCCGGAAGUCCUAUUGAAUGCCCGCGGGAGACUUGCUACUUCGGGAUCGACGUGAUUCGCGUCGUCCGGCUGCGAAGCGCGCAGUGAAGCGGAUCCGGAUUUAACUCCUUCUCAUAAUCCUUCGAUUUCUGCCCCAACGGCCGGAAAUCUAGUUUCUAGUACCUAAAAUAGCGUUCAGGGCGAUUGUUCAGGACUACAAAUUCUUUGUGGCAGAAAAUGAGCUCCCUCUAAGGAAGUUCAAGAUCCUUGGACCUAGCAGAAGGAACAGGGCGUUUUAGGGACCAGGUAUCCAAGAGAAUCUUCUACAUCAGUGAUGUGAGAAUUCCUGUUAACUGGAGUCUGACAAGAAAAGCUGAUGCUGGGUUGCGAAUGGCUUUCAACAAUUUUCUGGCAUGAAGAUAAGCUACAAAGCACAACAAAAAGAAGAGAAAUUAAACAUCUCCACAGACAAAUGAACUCAGAAUGAAACAAGAACAACAAAAAAAUGGCAUUUUCAUGGCAUUGAAGAGUUCUUUAUUUUUCCUCAAGUUUUCUUUUCUUAAAAACACAAACAGAGCAAAAAGCAAAAGGAAGUAAAGACAUUCAAAGGA